rnacentral:rRNA from 1 species
UACGUAGGGUGCGAGCGUUGUCCGGAAUUAUUGGGCGUAAAGAGCUUGUAGGCGGUCUGUCGCGUCUGCUGUGAAAAUCCGGGGCUCAACCCCGGACUUGCAGUGGGUACGGGCAGACUAGAGUGUGGUAGGGGAGACUGGAAUUCCUGGUGUAGCGGUGAAAUGCGCAGAUAUCAGGAGGGAACACCGAUGGCGAAAGGCAGGUCUCUGGG